rnacentral:rRNA from 1 species
UACGUAGGGGGCAAGCGUUGUCCGGAUUCAUUGGGCGUAAAGAGCUCGUAGGCGGCUUAGCAAGUCGGGUGUGAAAACUCCAGGCUCAACCUGGAGACGCCACCCGAUACUGCUAUGGCUAGAGUCCGGUAGGGGACCACGGAAUUCCUGGUGUAGCGGUGAAAUGCGCAGAUAUCAGGAGGAACACCGGUGGCGAAGGCGGUGGUCUGGGCCGGAACUGACGCUGAGGAGCGAAAGCCAGGGGAGCAAACGGG